rnacentral:rRNA from 1 species
UACAGAGGUCCCAAGCGUUGUUCGGAUUCAUUGGGCGUAAAGGGUGCGUAGGCGGCGCGGUAAGUCGGGUGUGAAAUCUCGGAGCUUAACUCCGAAACUGCAUUCGAUACUGCCGUGCUUGAGGACUGGAGAGGAGACUGGAAUUUACGGUGUAGCGGUGAAAUGCGUAGAUAUCGGGAGGAACACCGGUGGCGAAGGCGGCGAUCUGGGUAGAUACUGACGCUGAGGUGCGAAAGCGUGGGGAGCAAACAGG